UUAGAAGUCGGGCCUGCCCUAUGAAAUUUAAAUGGCCGCAGUAUAUUGACUGUGCAAAGGUAGCAUAAUCAUUAGUUUUUUAAUUGAAAGCUGGUAUGAAAGGUUUGAUGAGAAAAAAGCUGUCUCAGUUUAAUUUAUUAGAAUUUUACUUUUGAGUUAAAAGGCUUAAAUGAUUUAAUAAGACGAGAAGACCCUAUAGAGCUUUAGUGAAAAUUAAUCUUUGGGAUUAGGUUUGUUAUUUUCAAAGUUUAAUUACAUUUUUAUUGGGGUGAUAAGAAAAUUAAAUUAACUUUUCUUAAUGUGAACAGUUAUUUCUGGUUUUAAGAUCCUAAUUUUUAGUAUUUAAGAAAAAGUUACCUUAGGGAUAACAGCGUAAUUUUCCUUAGAGUUCUUAUCAAUAGGGUAGAUUGCGACCUCGAUGUUGGAUUAAAAUUAACUUUUGGUGCAGAAGCUGAAAUGUUAGGUCUGUUCGACCUUUAAAAUUUUACA
rnacentral:rRNA from 1 species